rnacentral:misc_RNA from 1 species
UGGGAAGAAGCUCCUCCCUAAAGCUAUCCAAAAUAGAGGGACCAGCUAAUGUAUGUCCACUUGUGGAUACCAUAACAGGGUCAACCACCAAGGCUGUCUUCAAGCAUUUGAUAGCAGCAUAGUUAAUGUCGUCGAAAUUUCAAAAACAGAACAAAUAUAUUGUUUACCUUGUACGGGGAAUUCCUUCAGACUUUGACAGAGGGUUUUCACUAUGCCAGUUGACGGAAGCAUGCCUGUUUUCACAACAUUGGGCGGCAUAUCGGAAAGGACCGAUCUCAACUGCUCUGCUACAAAAUCCUCCGGCACAAUGUUCACACCCUGAACCCCUACGGUAUUUUGAGCAGUAACAGCCGUGAUCACAGUGGAGCAAUACACUCCCCGAGCAGCACAAGCCUUGAUAUCCGCUUGAAUUCCGGCGCCGGCGCCGGAAUCGGACCCGGCAACCGUCAGAACAUGAGGAACUCUAACUUUGGACUCAUCGCACGACGUAGGCGUGGCAAACUUACCGUCUUGCAUCGCCUUGACGUGCAAAAACCUAUACUGAUGAAAGCUUUUGAUACAAGCUACGCCGGGACUCAACAGAACUG